UUCCAAGAUGCUGUCAAAAUUAAAUCAAUAUGGCUACUGGAAGGCAAACAUUGAAUAUUAUUCUGUCAGGUUCUUAUGGUUUUAGAUCAUUUUAGUUGUUGUACAAAGAUUAAUUUAACAUUUUCUCUGGAAGUAUUAAUUUAGAAAGAUAAUAUGCCUCAUUGGUGUUGUGUUUUGAAGUGUGAAAUACAAAGUAAUCGUGAUAAAGUUAGCUUUUACCACUUACUAUCAGUGCUACAUUCUAAGCACAAAACUGAACCAAUUUAACUAAAUAAGUUAUAGUUAUCAUCUGAGAGACAACAACAAUGGUAAAAUGCAAUAAAAUAUAAAGAUUUUACUAGCAAAAUGGAAAUUCCCCUGUAAUCAUCUUAUAUCUGGUAAGUUACAACAUUUGAACAUUAACGAUUUUUGAAGAUGUUAACAGUCUAAUCUUGUAGGAAAACCAGCCGACUUAACUGAUAAUAACAAUCCAGAUUGGGUUCCUUCAAUAAAUAUGGGGUAUAUAAACACAAUGAAAUGAGUUCCCCAAAAUCUAAAAUGGGAAUUAAGGUACCAAAGGAGAAUUAAAAGAAAAGGGUACCUACAAGAAAAAAUUGCUUUUUUAUUCCUCUUGAAAUGAUUUAUAAGACACUGGACUGUCUUAUAUUCUACAAAUACUAGAAUCAGCUGAGAGAAGUGGUCUACAAAAACCCAGGAAGGAAACGGAAUAUGUGGCUACGAAAGGCAAAAGAAAGGUUUACAAAGCAAAUGUGACACAUUUUUUUGAAAUAUUUAGGAAUAUCAGUAAAUUGCAUUAAAAAAAUGUAUGAAAAGAUUUUGUUCAAUAAAAAUGUUUAUAUUUA